GGGACAACAUUCCGAAAGGAGUGCUAAUACCGGAUGUGAUCAUCUUGCCGCAUGGCAGGAUGAAGAAAGAUGGCCUCUACAAGUAAGCUAUCGCUAAAGGAUGGGCCUGCGUCUGAUUAGCUAGUUGGUAGUGUAACGGACUACCAAGGCGAUGAUCAGUAGCCGGUCUGAGAGGAUGAACGGCCACAUUGGGACUGAGACACGGCCCAAACUCCUACGGGAGGCAGCAGUGGGGAAUCUUCCGCAAUGGACGAAAGUCUGACGGAGCAACGCCGCGUGAGUGAUGAAGGAUUUCGGUCUGUAAAGCUCUGUUGUUUAUGACGAACGUGCAGUGUGUGAACAAUGCAUUGCAAUGACGGUAGUAAACGAGGAAGCCACGGCUAACUACGUGCCAGCAGCCGCGGUAAUACGUAGGUGGCGAGCGUUGUCCGGAAUUAUUGGGCGUAAAGAGCAUGUAGGCGGCUUAAUAAGUCGAGCGUGAAAAUGCGGGGCUCAACCCCGUAUGGCGCUGGAAACUGUUAGGCUUGAGUGCAGGAGAGGAAAGGGGAAUUCCCAGUGUAGCGGUGAAAUGCGUAGAUAUUGGGAGGAACACCAGUGGCGAAGGCGCCUUUCUGGACUGUGUCUGACGCUGAGAUGCGAAAGCCAGGGUAGCGAACGGGAUUAGAUACCCCGGUAGUCCUGGCCGUAAACGAUGGGUACUAGGUGUAGGAGGUAUCGACCCCUUCUGUGCCGGAA
rnacentral:rRNA from 1 species